GACGAACGCUGGCGGCGUGCUUAACACAUGCAAGUCGAACGGAAAGGCCCUGCUUUUGUGGGGUGCUCGAGUGGCGAACGGGUGAGUAACACGUGAGUAACCUGCCCUUGACUUUGGGAUAACUUCAGGAAACUGGGGCUAAUACCGGAUAGGAGCUCCUGCUGCAUGGUGGGGGUUGGAAAGUUUCGGCGGUUGGGGAUGGAUUCGCGGCUUAUCAGCUUGUUGGUGGGGUAGUGGCUUACCAAGGCUUUGACGGGUAGCCGGCCUGAGAGGGUGACCGGCCACAUUGGGACUGAGAUACGGCCCAGACUCCUACGGGAGGCAGCAGUGGGGAAUAUUGCACAAUGGGCGGAAGCCUGAUGCAGAAACGCCGCGUGCGGGAUGACGGCCUUCGGGUUGUAAAACGCAUUCGCCUGUGACGAAGCGUGAGUGACGGUAAUGGGUAAAGAAGCACCGGCUAACUACGUG
rnacentral:rRNA from 1 species